UACGGGGGGGGCAAGCGUUGUUCGGAAUUACUGGGCGUAAAGGGCUCGUAGGUGGCCAACUAAGUCAGACGUGAAAUCCCUCGGCUUAACCGGGGAACUGCGUCUGAUACUGGAUGGCUAGAGUUUGGGAGAGGGAUGCGGAAUUCCAGGUGUAGCGGUGAAAUGCGUAGAUAUCUGGAGGAACACCGGUGGCGAAGGCGGCAUCCUGGACCGGCAUUGACGCUGAGGCGCGAAAGCUAGGGGAGCAAACGGG
rnacentral:rRNA from 1 species